GACGAACGCUGGCGGCGUGCCUAAUACAUGCAAGUCGAGCGGACCGACGGGAGCUUGCUCCCUUAGGUCAGCGGCGGACGGGUGAGUAACACGUGGGUAACCUGCCUGUAAGACUGGGAUAACUCCGGGAAACCGGGGCUAAUACCGGAUGCUUGAUUGAACCGCAUGGUUCAAUCAUAAAAGGUGGCUUUYAGCUACCACUUACAGAUGGACCCGCGGCGCAUUAGCUAGUUGGUGAGGUAACGGCUCACCAAGGCGACGAUGCGUAGCCGACCUGAGAGGGUGAUCGGCCACAC
rnacentral:rRNA from 1 species